rnacentral:lncRNA from 1 species
UCCAGAGAAAAUUAUAUUAAUACAUUUGAAUACAUAAAUUAUAUUAAUUAAAAAAAUAAAUGAAUACAUAGAAUACAACGGGAUACAUUAAAAUAUAAUUAAAAAGACAAUAAAUAUAUUGAAAUGCACGAAAUAUGAUUAAAUACAUGGAAUACAACGAGAUACAUUGAAAUACACUUAAAAAAUGUAAUAGAAUCUUAAAGUUGUUCAACCCCAAACUUCGUCGUCUUAUUGUUCAAGAACAACCCUAAUAUUAUCUCGUCGAGUUGCAGCCCUAACCAAACAUCUUUUGCAGCACAAAUACCGUUUCAUUGUCUUCAAAUAACCAAAGCCCAAACUAAAUAAAACUUAAUUCCUAUUUUUGGCAGUAACUUGAUUCCAAUGUUUAGUCGGAUCAUGAGGAAACAGAAUCAAUAAGAAAGGCCCGUUUCAGGUGUUGCAUCAGUCAACCUAUGACUACAGAUUGAUAUGGAAAAAGGAAAUAGUAGGCAGUAAGAGCAAGAGUAAAGAAUUUGGGAAGGCAAAACAAAACUGAUACCAAAGUUUUGCCAUUUGUAUCUACGAGACAUAAUUUCGUCAUUCAGAUAGAAAAAAGGAAGAAAUUUAAGAUAAAAAUUGUCUGUUUGUUGGAUCCUCUUUUUGUUUUUCUUUUCUCCUUGGAUUGAAGAUUACAUACCGGAGACUGCUACAAACCUUGUUCAGUCCAAAAAAGAUGAAAGGUCUCAAGACUGCUAAAAUUCUUUUUUGGAUAUUUUUGUUGUUACGAAAAUGAAAAGUUUAAACUGAGAUAUUUAUUUAGUAGACUAUGAUGUUCACUCCUCACCCAUAAAAUGUAUUGUAGCUUAAGAGGUGGGGCGCCCUAUGUCUCUUUAAUUUUUGAAAAAUAAGUCAUG